rnacentral:rRNA from 1 species
AUUGAACGCUGGCGGCAUGCUUUACACAUGCAAGUCGAACGGCAGCACGGGUGCUUGCACCUGGUGGCGAGUGGCGGACGGGUGAGUAAUACAUCGGAACGUGUCCUGAAGUGGGGGAUAACGCAUCGAAAGAUGUGCUAAUACCGCAUAUACUCUGAGGAGGAAAGUAGGGGAUCUAAAGACCUUAUGCUUUUGGAGCGGCCGAUGUCUGAUUAGCUAGUUGGUAAGGUAAUGGCUUACCAAGGCAACGAUCAGUAGUUGGUCUGAGAGGACGGCCAGCCACACUGGGACUGAGACACGGCCCAGACUCCUACGGGAG